GAUGAAGAACGUAGCGAAAUGCGAUAAGUAAUGUGAAUUGCAGAAUUCAGUGAAUCAUCGAAUCUUUGAACGCACAUUGCGCCCGCUAGUAUUCUGGCGGGCAUGCCUGUCCGAGCGUCAUUUCAACCCUCAAGCCCCCGGGCUUGGUGUUGGGGAUCGGCGAGCCUCCGCGCCCGCCGUCCCCUAAAUCUAGUGGCGGUCUCGCUGUAGCUUCCUCUGCGUAGUAGCACACCUCGCACUGGGANNCAGCGCGGCCACGCCGUUAAACCCCCAACUUCUGAACGUUUGACCUCGGAUCAGGUAGGAAUACCCGCUGAACUUAAGCAUAUCAAUAAGCGGAGGA
rnacentral:misc_RNA from 1 species